GAUAAACGCUGGCGGCGUGCCUUAUGCAUGCAAGUCGAACGCACCGCAAGGUGAGUGGCGAACGGGUGAGUAACACGUAGGAACCUGCCCUGGAGUGGGGGAUAACUCUCCGAAAGGGGAGCUAAUACCGCAUACGGUCUUCGGACCAAAGCUUCGGCGCUCUGGGAGGGGCCUGCGGCGGAUUAGCUUGUUGGUGGGGGUAAUGGCCUACCAAGGCGACGAUCCGUAGCUGGUCGAGAGGA
rnacentral:rRNA from 1 species